CACAUCCAGCCCUACCAUCUCCAUCCACGAGGUGGGCCAUACCGGAGUCACCAAAACUGAGAGGAGUGGCAUUAACAGACUGAGGAGUGAAAUGAAACAAUGACUAGGCGGUUUAGUGCUGAUGAACAUUCUUUUCUGUGGGCCAGGCCGCGUCCAGCAGUGCGCAUUCCUCCAAGUCUGCAGGUCCAGCACCCCAUCCUCGCCCACUGGCACGUCAUCCUCAGACUCGGGAGGACAUCACAUCGGCUGGGGUGAGCGGCAGGGCCAGUGGCUGCGCAGGAGAAGGCUGGAUGGGGCCAUCAACAGGGUC
rnacentral:lncRNA from 1 species